rnacentral:rRNA from 1 species
ACGAACGCUGGCGGCGUGCUUAACACAUGCAAGUCGAACGGAAAGGCCCUGCUUGCAGGGUGCCCGAGUGGCGAACGGGUGAGUAACACGUGGGUGAUCUGCCCCUUAUUUUGGGAUAAGCCUGGGAAACUGGGUCUAAUACUGGAUAGGACCAUGCUGUAGGUGGUGUGGUGGAAAGAUUAGUUUCGGUAAGGGAUGAGCUCGCGGCCUAUCAGCUUGUUGGUGGGGUAAUGGCCUACCAAGGCGUCGACGGGUAGCCGGCCUGAGAGGGUGGACGGCCACAUUGGGACUGAGAGACGGCCCAGACUCCGACGGGAGGCAGCAGUGGGGAAUAUUGCACAAUGGGCGCAAGCCUGAUGCAGCGACGCCGCGUGGGGGAUGACGGCCUUCGGGUUGUAAGCUCCUUUCAGCCAUGACGAAGCCCUUGUGGUGACGGUAGUGGUAGAAGAAGCACCGGCUAACUACGUG